GACGAACGCUGGCGGCGUGGAUUAGGCAUGCAAGUCGAACGGUAUCAUCCUUUCGGGGGUGAGAGAGUGGCGAACUGGUGAGUAACACGUAGGUUAUCUACCCUCAAGACGGGGACAACCCAGGGAAACUUGGGCUAAUACCGGAUGUGAGCAACUUUUAGUUGUUUGAAAGGUGGCGUAAGCUGUCGCUUGGGGAUGAGCCUGCGUCCUAUUAGUUAGUUGGUGAGGUAACGGCUCACCUAGGCAAUGAUAGGUAGGCGGCCUUAACGGGUGGUCGCCCGCACUGGGAUUGAGAUACGGCCCAGACUCCUACGGGAGGCAGCAGUCGAGAAUAGUCUACAAUGGUCGGAAGACUGAUAGUGCGACGCCGCGUGAACGAUGAAUCCCUUCGGGUGUAAAGUUCUUUUAUAUGUGAGCAGUGCUUCUUAUAUUAACAGUAUGGGGAGAGAGAUAUUAGCAUAUGAAUAAGCAACGGCUAACUCCGUGCCAGCAGCCGCGGUAAACUCGU
rnacentral:rRNA from 1 species